rnacentral:lncRNA from 1 species
AAAACCCAAAAAAAACAAAACAAUGGCAAAAGGCUUCUUUUUCUUGACAUUGGCUUUGCUUCUGCUAUCAACUGCAAAAGCCAGGCCUCUUUCCAAUGACCUUCAGAAGCAACCAUUUUCUACGCCAGAAUCGAUAAGUUUCAUUGAUGGUGAGUGCAGAGGUUUGAAUGAUGAAGAAUGUAUGAUUAGAAGGUCAUUGGCUGCUCAUACGGAUUAUAUUUAUACCCAGGAAAAUGAUGCUCCAUGAUCUUUUCUCUAUGAAUUCCAAUCUUUACUUCUCUGGAAUGUUCACAACUUAAACUGCUCACUUCUUAUGUUUUUUGCCAUUGAU